AGGAAUACAUUCUUUUUAUGUUUCCAUCGUCUCUUUAUUUAGUCGUGUUCGUCUCUUUUCAAACCCCUCAGUACUCCCUCACCCAAACCCCUCACUCCAGCUCUCACCCAAACCCCAAAUCAGAGAAAAAAAUCACACCAUUGAACCAUUUUCAUUGAAACCAGCCAUUAUCAAAACCAGAUUCAAUCUUGAUUUUGUCCAAGAUCUUGAGGGUUUUACUUGAUUUCUGCAAGAUCUUGAGAUGACUAUGGUGAGACUUAGUAGCGGAAGUUGCAGUCGAUCUCAGCCUACAACUAGUAGGUCAACUGCAAGUGGCUGGCCUACUCCCUUGCUCAAUGCUUCUGCAAGUCCAGGUUCUAGGAGUGAACAUUUGUCUUCAUCUGAUGGUGAGAACUCUCCAAAGUCCAAAUGAUGGUCACAGUAAUGAACCAGUGGGAAGUGUACGUACUGAGGAUCAGUGGCAUGCGGCAUUCCAACAAUCUGUCAAUGAAACUCAAAGUUCUCAAGAAAGCAGGAAUGAUAAUAACAUAGUUGUGUCUUUCAAUUUCCUUCCUUUAUAGUGAUGGUAAUAACAUAGGAAUGGUAAUAACGUCAAGUUAUAAUUUCUAAUUAAGUAUAUUGGUUUUAUGCAGUUGAUCACCUACUUCCAGUUGCAUUCAAUGCACUUGGACAACCCAUUGGAGAUUCAAAGGCGCAUUCCACGAAAGUUGGAAUGAUUGCUAAGAGUAUUGUGUCACCAUCUUAUGUUACCUGGAGGAAAGUUCCUCCGGAACUCAAGGAAGAAGUUUGGAGAGCAAUCAAGAAUGUGUACAACGUGCCUGAAUUUUUCAAGGACAAAGCUAUAAAAAUGGCAAACAAAGCUUGGAGGAAUGGGAAGACUCCUCUCAGGAGAAUGUGUGAUACAGCUGGUGCUGCUCUUGCUGAAAAAAAUCCAAGAGGCCAAGAAAUCAUAAGAAGAAAGAUUGGGAGGCUUUUGUGGACAUGGUUAGUGAUGAUAAAGAUAAAGCAGCCAGGGUGAGAGGGAGGAGAGCAAGGAAAGCAGUUAAAGAUCUACAUAGUAUUGAAAGAGAUGGUAUUACGCGGCGUCGCCAUAUAAUGGAACAAUAAUUUGACUAAAAAGCAGGAAGUGAUGUAUGAAAUCUGACAAAAGAAAAUUAUGCGACCUCUUGGCAGGUUGGUGUUCUUAUAGGCAAAGCUCGAGAGACCAUUCGGUUAUUGCAGGAUUCAGGAGCUAAAAUUCAAAUCACAAGAGAUGCUGAAGCUGAUAGAUAUGCAACAACCAAACCUGUUGAAUUAGAUUCAGAUACAAGUCCCAAAUGAGAAGGUUGGUCUGAUCGUUGGCAAGGGAGGUGAAACAAUUAAAUCCUACAGACAAGAUCUGGAGCAAAUAUCCAGAUGCAGAAAAACAUUUGACUACACAAAAUAGUGGAGUCACAAUGAAUGCUUGCACCAGCUUUAGAGCAAGUUCCAGGGAUACUAACCUUGUCGAUGACGAUACUACAUACUACGGCAUUCUGAAAAAGAUACUUGAACUAGACUACAGAGUUUUCACAGAAGUUGUUUUUUUAUUGUGAUUGGGCGCGAGUCGAAGACAAAGUACAUGGAUCAUAUGUGGAUCGAGAGACAAAGUUGAGGUUUGUCAAUUUUGAAAAGUUUGCGAGAAGCUCAAAGGAAGAAGACGAGCCGUUCAUCCAUGCUUCUCAAGCUAGCCAAGUUUUUUACUGCAGCGAUUUGACAAGAAAGUAUUGGAAUCUAGUUUUGGAAUCUCCUAUAAGAUCAGACCCCCAUAUUAAUGCUUUUGAAGAUCCAUAUGUCUUCACUGCAACCUCUAGUGAUGCUCCAUUGAUUUCAGAAACGGUUGGAGAUGAUGGUUAUUGGAGUGGAAUUGCUCAGGGAGAUGAUGAGUAUUUGGAUGUAUAUGAUCAGGAACUAGCACUAGCUGAGUGUGCAGAUGAUGAAUAUUCGGAUGGGGAUCCUUAGGAACUAGCUGAAUGUCGGUUGUAGAUAUUCAAUCACAAUGUUUCUCCGAGUUUGAUACCUUCAUGGAUGCUGGCACUCUGUUCCCGAUGGUCUUAUGAGGCUAACUGAUGUCAUGGUUGAUGGUAAGAUCGUUGUUCCUGUUGGAUGUACAAACGGUUGAAAGAGUUGUGCGUCUACAGUUAUGCUCUCACGCAAGCUAGUACCAAGAUCCUAAUGACUGAAAUUGUUGUUGAAAUUCUUAGGACUUAAAGAAACCUUAAUAAUUAGAAGUUUUUUUUAAUGAUUUUGGACUAAAUUUAUGAGUACAGUUCAAUGUAAUCGGGCUGUCAUUUGGUAUUAGACGAAUCAGGUUCUAUAUAGAAUUUGAACUUGAAUUUGAGAACUUGAGUAAUUGUCAUUUGAAUUUGAAUUUGAAUUGUCAUUUAAAUUGCAGUUUAA